AUGGCCGCCACGGCUGGCGCGCUGCAGCCGGCGCACUGCACUGAUCCGAAGGCAGGAGCCAGGUGCUUCUGCUGGUCUCCCAUGGGGUGCAGGGCCCAAGCACUUGGGCCAUCCUCCACUGCACUCCCUGUCCACAGCAGAGAGCUGGCCUGGAAGAGGGGCAACCGGGACAGAAUCCGGCGCCCCGACCGGUGUGCUGGCGCCGCAAGGCGGAGGAUUAGCCUAUUGAGCAGUGGUGCCGGCCAUCCCCGCUCUCUUAUGAGCGAGUGGGACAAAGACAAUGCACAAAUACAGGCAUGUGCUCGCUGCCACGGGGUAGUAACUGCCCUGCGGCACCGGAAGCCACGCCCCAGGACAGGCCUCCUCUUCCCCAAACUUGUCCCUGCUCUUGCUGUCACCGCUGUCUCCUGUCACCUGCCAUCUCCCUCCCCGGGCUGCUGCCUGCGGAAGCCUAUGCUGACAAGUUCGAAGGCCAGUGCGGGGGCCUCUGGCACUGCUGCAGAAGAUGCCAUAAGAUAGCCGGCGCCGCGGCUCACUAGGCUAAUCCUCUGCCUAGCGGCGCCGGCACACCGGGUUCUAGUCCCGGUCGGGGCGCCGGAUUCUGUCCCGGUUGCCCCUCUUCCAGGCCAGCCCUCUGCUGUGGCCAGGGAGUGCAGUGGAGGAUGGCCCAGGUGCUUGGGCCCUGCACCCCAUGGGAGACCAGGAAAAGCACCUGGCUCCUGGCUCCUGCCAUCGGAUCAGCGCGGUGCGCCGGCCGCAGCGCGCCGGCCGCGGCGGCCAUUGGAGGGUGAACCAACGGCAAAGGAAGAC
rnacentral:lncRNA from 1 species